rnacentral:rRNA from 1 species
UACGUAGGGUGCGAGCGUUUGUCCGGAAUUACUGGGCGUAAAGAGCUCGUAGGUGGUUUGUCGCGUUGUCCGUGAAAACUCACAACUCAAUUGUGGGCGUGCGGGCGAUACGGGCAGACUGGAGUACUGCAGGGGGAGACUGGAAUUCCUGGUGUAGCGGUGGAAUGCGCAGAUAUCAGGAGGAACACCGAUGGCGAAGGCAGGUCUCUGGGCAUUAACUGACGCUGAGGAGCGAAAGCAUGGGGAGCGAACAGG